GAUGAACGCUGGCGGCGUGCCUAAUACAUGCAAGUCGAGCGAAGCGGGGACGGGUGAGUACCACGUGGAUAACCUCCUAUAAGUCUGGGAUAACUUCGGGAAACAGGAGCUAAACCGGAUACUUAUCUAUGGUUGUGCGCUGCAUUAGCUAGUUGGUAAGGUAACGGCUUACCAAGGCAACGAUGCAUAGCCGACCUGAGAGGGUGAUCGGCCACACUGGAACUGAGACACGGUCCAGACUCCUACGGGAGGCAGCAGUAGGGAAUCUUCCGCAAUGGGCGAAAGCCUGACGGAGCAACGCCGCGUGAGUGAAGAAGGUCUUCGGAUCGUAAAACUCUGUUAUUAGGGAAGCGGUACCUAAUCAGAAAGCCACGGCUAACUACGUGCCAGCAGCCGCGGUAAUAC
rnacentral:rRNA from 1 species